rnacentral:rRNA from 1 species
ACGGUCCUACGGGGCGCAGCAGUGAGGAAUAUUGGUCAAUGGGCGAGAGCCUGAACCAGCCAAGUCGCGUGGGGGAGUACUGCCCUAUGGGUUGUAAACCUCUUUUGUCGGGGAGCAAAAGCCGGACGUGUCCGGCUGUGAGAGUACCUGAAGAAAAAGCAUCGGCUAACUCCGUGCCAGCAGCCGCGGUAAUACGGAGGAUGCGAGCGUUAUCCGGAUUUAUUGGGUUUAAAGGGUGCGUAGGCGGAAUUCCAAGUCAGCGGUAAAAUCGCGGGGCUCAACCUCGCUCCGCCGUUGAAACUGGG